GACGAACGCUGGCGGCGUGCUUAACACAUGCAAGUCGAGCGGUAAGGCCCUUUCGGGGGUACGACGAGCGGCGAACGGGUGAGUAACACGUGGGUGACCUGCCCUCCAGCUCUGGGAGUAAGCCUGGGAAACCGGGUCUAAUACCGGAUAUGACUCCAUGACGCAUGUUGUGGGGUGGAAAGCCUUGUGCGGCUGAGGAUGGG
rnacentral:rRNA from 1 species